rnacentral:rRNA from 1 species
CGUGGCUUUCGGAGCUAACGCGUUAAGUAGACCGCCUGGGGAGUACGGUCGCAAGAUUAAAACUCAAAUGAAUUGACGGGGGCCCGCACAAGCGGUGGAGCAUGUGGUUUAAUUCGAUGCAACGCGAAGAACCUUACCUACUCUUGACAUCCAUAGAACUUUCCAGAGAUGGAUUGGUGCCUUCGGGAACUAUGAGACAGGUGCUGCAUGGCUGUCGUCAGCUCGUGUUGUGAAAUGUUGGGUUAAGUCCCGCAACGAGCGCAACCCUUAUCCUUGUUUGCCAGCACUUCGGGUGGGAACUCCAGGGAGACUGCCGGUGAUAAACCGGAGGAAGGUGGGGACGACGUCAAGUCAUCAUGGCCCUUACGAGUAGGGCUACACACGUGCUACAAUGGCGCAUACAGAGGGCGGCCAACUUGCGAAAGUGAGCGAAUCCCAAAAAGUGCGUCGUAGUCCGGAUUGGAGUCUGCAACUCGACUCCAUGAAGUCGGAAUCGCUAGUAAUCGUGGAUCAGAAUGCCACGGUGAAUACGUUCCCGGGCCUUGUACACACCGCCCGUCACACCAUGGGAGUGGGCUGCAAAAGAAGUGGGUAG